AAAUUUAGUCAAAUCCCAAAAAAGAAGAACAAAUAACCAUCCAGAUAACCCAAGAUAAAGAAGCCACACAUUUAUUCUUAAACACAAGAAUAUCCAUGGCGGAGCAGCGUGAGAAGCUUCACGUCGUGCUGUUUCCAUGGCUAGCAUUUGGUCACAUAGGUCCAUUUUUUGAGCUUUCAAAACUCAUAGCUCAAAAGGGUCACAAAAUUUCUUUCAUUUCUACACCUAAAAAUAUCCAUAGCUUACCCAAAGUGCCUGAAAACUUGCAACCUUUGGUGGAUCUGAUAGAACUGCCACUGCCCCGUGUUGACAAACUCCCAGAAAAUGCAGAGGCGACAGUGGACAUUCCUCACCACCUCAUUCCAUACCUCAAGCAGGCUUUUGAUGGUCUUGAACAACCUUUGACCAAGUUUCUGGAGAGACGCAAACCAGAUUGGAUAAUAUACGACUUUGCACCGUAUUGGUUGCCGCCAAUAUCUUCUAAGCUAGGAAUCUCAUGCAUCUAUUUCUGUAUUUUUAGUGCAUCUGCUAUCUAUUUUUUUCUCCUGAAAGACACAGAUUUUGCUGAAGAACAUUAUGAGAAAAAUGAAUCGGGGGUUUCAGACCUGUUUCGAGUCCUUGAAACUUGUAAUGGUGCUCAAGUUACUGCUACAAGAACCUGCAUAGAGAUUGAAGGUGAGCCUCUCAAAUUGUUCGAAAGCAUAUAUAGUAAACCAGUGAUUCCAAUUGGUUUAUUGCCACCUUCACUACAGUUCAGUGAAGACAAUAAUGAUGAAAACUGGGAUAGCAUUCUUAAAUGGUUAGACAAACAGGAAGAAGCGUCAGUGAUGUAUGUAGCUUUUGGAAGUGAAGUGACACUAAGCGAUGAAGAGUUUACUGAAAUUAGUAUGGGAAUAGAAAUGUCUGGUUUUCCCUUUUUUUGGGUUCUUAAAAAGCAAAACACAUCUAAGGUUGAGUUGCAGGAUUUGGUUGUGAAUAACUCAGGAAAGGGUUUGGUGUGGAGAAGAUGGGCACCACAGAUGAGGAUUUUAGCACACAAGUCUGUUGGGGGAUUCCUGACUCACUGUGGUUGGAGUUCAGUUAUAGAAAGUCUUCAAGUUGGUUGUCCACUUGUUAUGUUGCCCUUCCAAAUUGAUCAAUUUGUAGUUGCUAGGCUUAUGGAGGAGAAAAGGGUAGGGGUCAAAGUUAAGAGAAGUGAGCAUGAUGAGAAGUUCACCGGGGAAUCGUUGGCCAAUGCAUUGAGAUCAGUGAUGUUGGAAAAAACUUAUAGAAAUGAAGCAAAGGAAAUGAGCAAAAUAUUUGGGAACAAAGAACUGCACCAAAAAUAUGCAGAUGAGUUUGUUGAAUAUAUGGAAAUCCAUAGGCCUGCCAUAAAGGAUUAGCCUUUCUGCUAUUCUAUUAUAUCAUACAAAAUAGGGUUCCCCUGUCGUUUCUGGUUUUUUUACCUUUCAGGUUGCAAAGACAAUGGAGAUCGAAUCACGAUUGGUGGCAACCUAGCGAGUAGCUCGCAAAGAGGCGCUUGUAUGUUUGGGUGGUCUCUGCAGCGGCAUUGACGAGGUGAUCAGGUUCUGAUUUUGUAUCGCAGUGGUGAAAAUGUUAGGCGAACUCGCGAUUGGGUUCCUGCAAUUUGCAAUUCUGUCUACGGUGACUGCCAUGGAAGCGUGAUUUGGUUACCGGAGAAGAUGAAGAUGACAUUCCAAGAGCAAUGUUUGGUGCUGAUAGUGUUUUUUGGACCUUUCCAUGUGUUGUAUGAUAUGAGAUGAUCACUUUGCCCUUAUUUAAAUUUUAUUUUCCCUCUUUUCACA